rnacentral:rRNA from 1 species
ACUACGGGAGGCAGCAGUGGGGAAUUUUGGACAAUGGGCGCAAGCCUGAUCCAGCUAUUCCGCGUGUGGGAUGACGGCCCUCGGGGUGUAAACCACUUUAGUAGAGAACGAAAAGGAGCUAUCGAAUAAAUAGCUCUGCUGACGGUACACUAAGAAUAAGCAUCGGCUAACUCCGUGCCAGCAGCCGCGGUAAUACGGGGGAUGCGAGCGUUAUCCGGAUUUAGUGGGUUUAAAGGGUGCGUAGGAGGAAUGCCAAGCCAGCGGUAAAAUCGCGGGGCUCAACCUCGCUCCGCCGUUGAAACUGGCGUUCUUGAGUGGGCGAGAAGUAUGCGGAAUGCGUGGUGUAGCGGUGAAAUGCAUAGAUAUCACGCAGAACUCCGAUUGCGAAGGCAGCAUACCGGCGCCCAACUGACGCUGAAGCACGAAAGCGUGGGUAUCGAACAGGAUUAGAUACCCUUGUAGUC